rnacentral:lncRNA from 1 species
ACCAGGUAACUGGCAACACCAGAAAAAAUUUCUUCCUCCUACCCAGCUGGGAAAUAUCCACAGUCUUUUCUACUGCAAUGUACAUAUCCCAGAUUAAACAAGUUUGAGAGUCAGGAGAACACUAUAUCCUCAGUUUCCAUUGCUGGAUCCUCCUCUCAAUAUUCUCCAGAGUUCAGUCCUUGAACGUCUUCUCUUCUUUAUACUUAGUUCUCACCAGAUAGUCUCAAGUUCCAUUGUAUUAUAUGAUAUAUACGCAUCCCCUAUUUGAUCUGUUUCCCUGAGGAGCCCUGACUAAUACAAUAACCUUUCCUCUUUGCCUCCUAUGGAGCUCUGGAAUCAACUCAAUGUGGAAGAUGUCUCACCCACUACCCUAUUACAUCUAAAACAUGAAUCUGGCUGCUUAUCCUUGGAUUUUCUACCUCCAUAAAAUGAUAAAGAGAAUGUUCCUUAUAUACAGAAUACCUGAGCUUUACCAGCACCAGGACUGGUUGUUACUCUAUGUUUUUGAUAGAGCUGAUUUUCCUAUUUCAUUAGGGAGACAUAUAUCAACAUACAGAAGGUUGAUGUAUAAAAAAGAAAUAAGCCCAACCAGCUGAAAGAGGAAGAACUUAAUUUAUUGCUGAAUAGUGACAAUCAAUUCAAAUGAUUUUAGUUGAACUGACAUUAAAUUAUAACCUCUUGGUUUAAGACAUUUGAGAGAAUGAGAUCCAAAGAAAAAGAUUGGGCAUAUUUUUAAAAAUUCCUUGAAUAUCUCUUAUUCACUGUUUUUGCCAUACAAACAAGCUUAGAUAUUUGACUUAACACUGCCCUAGUUCUCAAGCCUCUAGUUUCUCUUCAUGACAGUAGCUUUCUAUUAUGAUAGAUGAAAACCCAAAUAACAUUUAUUCUAUCCUAUUGGAAAACACAUGAAAAUGUCCAGGGGAGAAGCAUCUCUAAAAAUAAUAAAUGAAAUACAUCCACCAAUAAAGAGGAAUAGAAUCGUGGUCUCUGAUCUCCUUUUUGAGGCACUAUUCCUCCCACGGGAGUUAGACUGUAGCAGAAAUCUAAGCAUGGCCCUAAUUCCUACAUUCCAAUCCUAGAUACACUAAAAGGAGCAGAACCAGGUGAAGUAAACUUAAAAGGAAACAAAGUCUUUAUGCAUUCCAAAAACAACACUUUUCUCUGUGUGUAAUCCCCAUAAUCAAAUUGAUGCUUGAAUGACAAAGCAAGAAAAAUGAUAUAAAAUUGGGGAAAUUAAGAAUGAUAUAAUCGUGUUACUGCCUCUGUGCCCUAUAUAUCUAAAUAUGUAUCUAUCAAAAAACCUCUCCAACAGAACAUGGUGACAGAGAUAAAUUUCAGUUUGACAAAUGCACCAAACAAAAAAUGAAAUGUAUCAUAAACCAUUGCUCUUUCUCAAUCCAAACAGAAAAAAAUUCCUAAAGAAACCUGCAUUCUUUAUAAUAACUAGGGUAAUGUAUGAUGUGUUCUCUCAAUUUCUGAAAUACUAUGUAAGUCACGAAUCUAAAGCCAUGCAAAAGUUAUACAUUCACAAUAUGCUUGUAGAAGAUUCAUGUUAAAUGUGGCUUUGCUCAUAGUUUUUUAAAACUGGUAGUUUUGACUACAAAUACUAAAAUAAAGUUUAUUAAAAUUUUUUCACUUUUCAAACAAUCAUCUUAGUAUAGAGACACUGCCUUAUUCAUUUAUUCAUUCAAUAUAUUCAGAUAAUUCACUAUUUUCUAUAAAAGAAAAAUGCCCAUCUUGAUUAAUGAGAUCAUCUAUGAAGCAAUUGUGCUAACUUUCCUAAGUUUCAUACCUAUUAAUUUCAAAAAAUUUCCACUAAUUUCUGCAUUAUAAGAUCGAUUGAAUGGGAACAUCUAAUCUGUCUUUACAAAACCCUUUAUUACUGCAACUAUAAUCUGUAGAUUUUAAUAC